rnacentral:rRNA from 1 species
CUCGUAGGCGGUUUGAUAAGUCCUGUGUGAAAUCCCUUGGCUCAACCAAGGAAUGGCGCAGGAUACUGUCAUACUUGAGGCCGGGAGAGGGAAGCGGAAUUCCCAGUGUAGCGGUGAAAUGCGUAGAUAUUGGGAGGAACACCGGUGGCGAAGGCGGCUUCCUGGACCGGUUCUGACGCUCAAGAGCGAAAGCCAGGGGAGCAAAACA